rnacentral:rRNA from 1 species
CCUACGGGGUGCAGCAGUGAGGAAUAUUGGUCAAUGGACGAGAGUCUGAACCAGCCAAGUAGCGUGAAGGAUGACUGCCCUAUGGGUUGUAAACUUCUUUUAUAAGGGAAUAAAACGAGGCACGUGUGCCUUUUUGCAUGUACUUUAUGAAUAAGGAUCGGCUAACUCCGUGCCAGCAGCCGCGGUAAUACGGAGGAUCCGAGCGUUAUCCGGAUUUAUUGGGUUUAAAGGGAGCGUAGUUGGGUUGUUAAGUCAGUUGUGAAAAUUUGCGGCUCAACCGUAAAAUUGCAGUUGAUACUGGCAGUCUUGAGUACAGGUGAGGUAGGCGGAAUUCGUGGUGUAGCGGUGAAAUGCAUAGAUAUCACGAAGAACCCCGAUUGCGAAGGCAGCUUACUAAACUGUGACUGACAUUGAUGCACGAAAGUGUGGGUAUCGAACAGGAUUAGAUACCCUUGUAGUC